rnacentral:rRNA from 1 species
GGAUGAACGCUAGCGGCAGGCCUAACACAUGCAAGUCGAGGGGCAGCACGAUUGCUUGCAAUUGGUGGCGACCGGCGCACGGGUGCGUAACGCGUAUGCAACCUACCCUUUACAGGAGGAUAGCCCGGGGAAACUCGGAUUAAUACUCCAUAAUAUCAUUGAUUCGCAUGUUUUAAUGAUUAAAGAUUUAUCGGUAUAGGAUGGGCAUGCGUAAGAUUAGCUAGUUGGUAAGGUAAUGGCUUACCAAGGCAACGAUCUUUAGGGGGCCUGAGAGGGUGAACCCCCACACUGGUACUGAGACACGGACCAGACUCCUACGGGAGGCAGCAGUGAGGAAUAUUGCGCAAUGGAGGCAACUCUGACGCAGCCAUGCCGCGUGCAGGAAGACGGCCCUACGGGUUGUAAACUGCUUUUAUUUGGGAAUAAACCCCUGAUCGAGUAUCAGGGCUGAAGGUACCAAACGAAUAAGGACCGGCUAACUCCGUGCCAGCAGCCGCGGUAAUACGGAGGGUCCAAGCGUUAUCCGGAUUCAUUGGGUUUAAAGGGUGCGUAGGCGGCUUAAUAAGUCAGUAGUGAAAGACUGUGGCUCAACCAUAGAAUUGCUAUUGAAACUGUUGGGCUUGAAUCUAGUUGAAGUGGGCGGAACACAUCAUGUAGCGGUGAAAUGCAUAGAUAUGAUGUAGAACGCCGAUUGCGAAGGCAGCUCACUAAGUUAGUAUUGACGCUGAGGCACGAAAGCGUGGGUAGCGAACAGGAUUAGAUACCCUGGUAGUCCACGCCGUAAACGAUGGUUACUCGCUGUUGGCGAUAUAAUGUCAGUGGCCAAGCGAAAGCAUUAAGUAACCCACCUGGGGAGUACGUUCGCAAGAAUGAAACUCAAAG